rnacentral:rRNA from 1 species
ACGGAAGGCAGCAGUGGGGAAUAUUGGACAAUGGGGGAAACCCUGAUCCAGCGACGCCGCGUGGGUGAAGAAGUAUUUCGGUAUGUAAAGCUCUUUAGGCAGGAAAGAAAAUGACGGUACCUGCAGAAUAAGCCCCGGCUAACUACGUGCCAGCAGCCGCGGUAAUACGUAGGGGGCAAGCGUUAUCCGGAUUUACUGGGUGUAAAGGGAGCGUAGACGGCUGUGUAAGUCUGAAGUGAAAGCCCGCGGCUUAACUGCGGGACUGCUUUGGAAACUGUAUAGCUAGAGUGUCGGAGAGGUAAGUGGAAUUCCCAGUGUAGCGGUGAAAUGCGUAGAUAUUGGGAGGAACACCAGAGGCGAAGGCGGCUUACUGGACGAUUACUGACGUUGAGGCUCGAAAGCGUGGGGAGCAAACAGGAUUAGAUACCCUGGUA